CCCAUUCUCACUCCAAAGGCGUCAAAAACCGAAGCAUGGUCAAGCGCCCCUAGCGUCACUUUUAUGACGCCAAAUGUGCCUCUCGGCGUCGAAUAUCGAAGCACUACGACCUUCAUUGCUUUCAAUGGGAAACUUUUGGCGUCAGAAUUCGACACGAGGACAUGAGAUGUUUAUCGCUAUGAAAUCACGUGCAAGAAGUCUCAUUCAGCACACAUCGCGAUACUUGCUAUCAGUUCCACAGUUUGGCUGAAAAGACGUAAAGGCAGUCAGCCCAGUGGUGUUUCUGGAGAGGGAUUCCUUCAGAAAUGGAGAAGACAGAAAGCUGCGGAGGCAGAUAUUUGCAGCAGUCUAAAAUAUCAAGCUCAACAGCUCACUCAAGAGCCAACCCUCACAAACCUUCCUAAAAACUAAAAAAG